UACGAAGGGGGCUAGCGUUGCUCGGAAUGACUGGGCGUAAAGGGCGCGUAGGCGGAUGGCACAGUCAGAUGUGAAAUUCCCGGGCUUAACCUGGGGGCUGCAUUUGAUACGUGUUGUCUUGAGUUCGGAAGAGGGUCGUGGAAUUCCCAGUGUAGAGGUGAAAUUCGUAGAUAUUGGGAAGAACGCCGGUGGCGAAGGCGGCGACCUGGUCCGACACUGACGCUGAGGCGCGAAAGCGUGGGGAGCAAACAGG
rnacentral:rRNA from 1 species